CGCGACUUUCCUCGGAAAUUUAAAGUCAUCCACAAAGCGUUCUUCAGCAUUAAAGACACGGUCAAGUGAAAGGAACGCGAAGACGUCUCUUGUGGCGUCCUCCGGCGCGGCGUCUUCGAGCGCCUAGCAAUCACGCGAGACGCUCAUACAGACGAACCUUGGAGUUACAAUAGACAGAGGGAAUUCUCUUUCAUAAAUUUAGUGAUGAAUAUUUUUCACUUAUUUUGGGAAACUUUAUUACAUAUUUCAGAGCUGAAAGUCAAAGAUACAAGAGCUUCUCGUUGCCAACAUGUUGCAAAAGCAAAUCACAUGUGGUAACAACAUAGGGUAUUUCCAAACCACAGUAGAAUCAUGAUUAUUGCAUAGGAGUCCCAUUCAUCUUACAGUGUUGACAAGUGGAGGGAGCUAAGCAACAAGUAUGGCUGGAAACGAUGAUACACUACGUAGAGCUACUAUCCAUUGGAUUGGUUGACUUGACUAUCGCAGAAAUUUUCAGGACUUCCGGCAAUAAGCGAGGUUCUAAUACAAGUGAAAAGUGCCACAAGUGGAGAUCAUUAUAAAAUUAAUCUGCGUA